GACGGAAGGUGCAAGCGUUGCUCGGAAUCACUGGGCGUAAAGGGUGCGUAGGCGGCUUCUUAAGUCUGGUGUGAAAGCCCAGGGCUCAGCUCUGGAAGUGCACUAGAAACUGGGGGGCUUGAGUACCGGAGGGGAGAGUGGAAUUCCUGGUGUAGCGGUGAAAUGCGUAGAUAUCAGGAGGAAUACCGGUGGCGAAAGCGACUCUCUGGACGGUUACUGACGCUGAGGCACGAAAGCGUGGGGAGCAAACAGG
rnacentral:rRNA from 1 species